AGAGUUUGAUCAUGGCUCAGGACGAACGCUAGCGGCAGGCCUAAUACAUGCAAGUCGAACGGCAGUCUCGACCUCGGUUGAGAUGAGAGUGGCGGACGGGUGCGUAACGCGUAUGCAACCUACCCUUCAAGGGGGGAUAGCUUCGGGAAACUGGAGAUAAUACCCCGUACGUUCUUUGUGUGGCAUCGCACGAAGAAGAUAGCCUUGGCGUUGAAGGAUGGGCAUGCGUCUGAUUAGCUAGUUGGCGGGGUAACGGCCCACCAAGGCGACGAUCAGUAGCUGGUCUGAGAGGAUGAUCAGCCACACGGGCACUGAGACACGGGCCCGACUCCUACGGGAGGCAGCAGUAAGGAAUCUUGGUCAAUGGGGGCAACCCUGAACCAGCCAUGCCGCGUGCAGGAAGAAGGCCCUCCGGGUUGUAAACUGCUUUUGUCAGGGACUAAUAAAUACCUAUACGGUAUGAUGUCGGUACCUGAAGAAUAAGCACCGGCUAACUACGUGCCAGCAGCCGCGGUAAUACGUAGGGUGCAAGCGUUGUCCGGAUUUAUUGGGUUUAAAGGGUGCGCAGGCGGCCCGAUAAGUUAGUGGUGAAAGCGUUCUGCUCAACAGGAUACUCGCCAUUAAUACUGUCAGGCUUGA
rnacentral:rRNA from 1 species